rnacentral:lncRNA from 1 species
UGGAUUUGAGUUGAGCAGCCNUGUGGAAACCUCCACUGAAUUAAAUGGGGAUCUGGGCUCUCAGGGCAAAUUAGAGGGAGACUGGAGUGAGUCAUAGGUGCAAUUUUUGGCUAAACUUUGGAGCUCAGAGGGCAACCCUGAGGCAUGUUGGGCAUUUUCACAACCCAGGGCCUUUUGUGUUAUGACAAGAAGAGAUCUGCUCAUGGUAUCUAUAUAACCUGCUAUGCUUGUGAUGGGACCGAACAGUGUUACAAGACAGCGAAGUAUAUUGGUGGUAAAUUGGUUUACUGGGACGCAGGUUGCACCGGUAACAGGGAUGACCUAAUUUGCAACUCUAGCAAAAAGGAAAUUGCCGGUGGACAAGAAGUCCAAACGUAUACCUCUUGCUGCAACAAAAAGAGCUGUAACAAUGGGCGACCCACUGGUUUCGGAAAGUAA